rnacentral:snRNA from 1 species
AUACUCUGGUUUCUCUUCAGAUCGUAUAAAUCUUUCGCCUUUUACUAAAGAAACUGAAGAGGAAUA